rnacentral:rRNA from 1 species
CCUACGGGUGGCAGCAGUCGAGAAUAAUUGACAAUGGGGGAAACCCUGAUGGUGCGACGCCGCGUGGGGGAAUGAAGGCCUUCGGAUUGUAAACCCCUGUUAUGUGGGAGCAAAUUAAAAAGAUAGUACCACAAUAGGAAGAGACGGCUAACUCUGUGCUAGCAGCCGCGGUAAUACAGAGGUCUCAAGCGUUGUUCGGAAUCACUGGGCGUAAAGGGUGCGUUGGCUGUUUCGUAAGUCGUGUGUGAAAGGGGCGGGCUCAAAACGCGGAGGGCACAUGAUACUGCGAGACUAGAGUUAUGGAGAGGGAGGCGGAAUUCGCGGUGUAGCAGUGAAAUGCGUAGAUAUCGAGAAGAACACUCAUGGCGAAGGCAGGUUCCUAGACAUUAACUGACGCUGAGGCACGAAGGCCAGGGGAGCGAAAGGGAUUAGAUACCCUAGUAGUC